rnacentral:rRNA from 1 species
UGAGGAAUCUUGCGCAAUGGGGGCAACCCUGACGCAGCCACGCCGCGUGCCGGAAGACGGCCCUAUGGGUUGUAAACGGCUUUUAGGUGGGAAGAACCCGGAGGUUUCGACCUCCGCUGACGGUACCACAAGAAUAAGCACCGGCUAACUCCGUGCCAGCAGCCGCGGUAAUACGGAGGGUGCAAGCGUUGUCCGGAAUUAUUGGGUGUAAAGGGUGCGCAGGCGGGAACCUGCGUCGAGGGUGAAAGCUGGCCGCUUAACGGUCAAAGCGCCUUCGAUACGGGGUUCCUUGAGUCCAGAAGAGGUUGGUGGAAUUCGUGGUGUAGCGGUGAAAUGCAUAGAGAUCACGAAGAACACCGGUGGCGAAGGCGGCCAACUGGUCUGGAACUGACGCUGAGGCACGAGAGCGUGGGGAGCGAACAGGAUUAGAUACCCCCGUAGUCC